AUAGGCCACAAAGCGCUCCAAAUGUCCACUUGCAGAUUCCAGAAAAAGAGUGUUUCCAAACUGCUCAAUGAAAAGAAAGGUUCAACUCUGUGUGAUGAACGCGCAUAUCACAAAGAGGUUUUUCAGAAUUCUUCUGUCUAGUUUUAAUGUGAAGAUAUUUCCUUUUCCACCAUAGGCCUCAAAGCACUCCAAAUGUCCAAUUGCAGAUUCUACAAAAAGAGU
rnacentral:lncRNA from 1 species